rnacentral:rRNA from 1 species
UGGGGAAUAUUGGACAAUGGGCGAAAGCCUGAUCCAGCCAUGCCGCGUGUGUGAAGGUCUUCGGAUUGUAAAGCACUUUAAGUUGGGAGGAAGGGCAGUAAGCGAAUACCUUGCUGUUUUGACGUUACCGACAGAAUAAGCACCGGCUAACUCUGUGCCAGCAGCCGCGGUAAUACAGAGGGUGCAAGCGUUAAUCGGAAUUACUGGGCGUAAAGCGCGCGUAGGUGGUUCGUUAAGUUGAAUGUGAAAGCCCCGGGCUCAACCUGGGAACUGCAUCCAAAACUGGCGAGCUAGAGUAGGGCAGAGGGUGGUGGAAUUUCCUGUGUAGCGGUGAAAUGCGUAGAUAUAGGAAGGAACACCAGUGGCGAAGGCGACCACCUGGGCUCAUACUGACACUGAGGUGCGAAAGCGUGGGGAGCAAACAGG